UCUUAAACCGCUUAUUGGUUUGCAUUAGAAAUUAAAAACCGACUUCUGCCCUAGCAAUCUUAUUCGACCACGCGAUCUCUUUACUCUCUGCGCGUCUCUUCUCCCUGCGAACAAAUUACUUCUCCGUUUCUUCUCCCCGUGAACAACCCGCCUCCUCCCCAACCUUCCACAACACGGAUGGCGACAACGACGUCGACGGCGACAACGACGCCGACGCCACUGCUUCCAGUCUAAGAAGAUCUUCGCUGCCGCUUUCGUUCGCACCUUAACCAAGCAAACGUUGGCCCAAAAUUGGCAAAGCCAGCCGACCACAUACCACCAUACCAAUCAUAG